UACAGAGGUCCCAAGCGUUGUUCGGAUUCACUGGGCGUAAAGGGUGCGUAGGCGGUCGGGUAAGUCUGACGUGAAAUCUCCAAGCUCAACUUGGAAAUGGCGUCGGAUACUAUUCGGCUUGAGGAGUGGAGGGGAGACUGGAAUUCUCGGUGUAGCAGUGAAAUGCGUAGAUAUGGGGGAGAACACUCGUGGCGAAGGCGGCCAGCUAGACCAGUUCUGACACUGAGGCGCGACAGCGUGGGGAGCAAACAGG
rnacentral:rRNA from 1 species